UUGAGUAGGUAGUGCUGCAUUGGGGUUCCUUGAUAGCCUACUUGAUAAUAUUAGUUUUGAUUUUAUGUUUUUCAUUUAAAUUUAAUUGCUCAAAUUUAAAUAACACAAUUUAUUUCAAAUUUAAAUUGCAUUAAUUAUAAAAUCUUAAAUAUUACAUAAAACUUUAAUAAAAUAAAAAAAAUUAAAAAAAAAACAAAAUAAAAACAGCCAUUGAAAAUUAAAAUAUAUAUAUAUAUAUUUUUUUAUUUGAGGCUCGAGUACUACCC
rnacentral:lncRNA from 1 species